rnacentral:rRNA from 1 species
AUUGAACGCUGGCGGCAGGCCUAACACAUGCAAGUCGAGCGAGAGGCGGACGGGUGAGUAAUGUAUGGGAAACUGCCUGAUGGAGGGGGAUAACUACUGGAAACGGUAGCUAAUACCGCAUACCAUCAGAUGUGCCCAGAUGGGAUUAGCUAGUAGGUGGGGUAUGGGCUCACCUAGGCGACGCUCCCUAGCUGGUCUGAGAGGAGGACCGGCCACACUUGAACUGAGACACGGUCCAGACUCCUACGGGAGGCAGCAGUGGGGAAUAUUCGACAAUGGGCGCAAGCCUGAUGCAGCCAUGCCGCGUGUGUGAAGAAGGCCUUCGGAUUGUAAAGCACUUUCAGCGAGGAGGCGUUACCCGCAGAAGAAGCACCGGCUAACUACGUGCCAGCAGCCGCGGUAAUUC